CCGGAAUCGGACCGCCAGCUGAUGUCCGGAGGUGCUCCGUGGCUGGAUUCCCUCUGGUGGGCACUCCGUCCUCAGCCAUGGGAUGCACGCCACUGCUGCUCAUCCCGACUGGGCGGAGGCUCCCUUUUCCUGCAGGUGCUGCCCCGCUGAUUUAGUGCUCAGAAAAUUUUGUUGGCUGUUGAUUUGCUGCCAAGGACGGCAAACUCGACUAUGGCGACGCCAUCUGUGGACUUCAAGGUGCCUAAUUGAUGUUUGGCGUUCCCUCUUCUAAUAACGUUCGUGACGUUCCACUUCCUCUCCCCACAAUCUCGAGAGAAACUGAUGGAUUUUUGCCCUAUAAAGUCUACUACACCUAAGUACCUCACCUCAUUUUGUAUCAUCGUCCUCCAGUACGGGUGGGUCUCUCCCAGAAUUCUCAUACCGCAGCCGGUGAGAAACUCGCUCCGAUCUCCUCCAUAUUCUGUAUGCCAUAUUACUGCUUUCCAUCACAAAUUUGCACUUUGUCAGGUUGUGCGUGCUUGACGA